AGAAUCGGGAUGUUGAGGAUGAGAUGAAGAAGGUGAGCUCGAGCGGGUCACCGGUGAGCGAGCCCUCUUCGGAAAACGCCAACGCCGCCGCGGACGCUUCACCGCCGAAGAGUCAUUGGGCGUCAUCAUCGUGUGACGUGGGCGACGGCAAAAGGAGGGCGCGAGAGGGAAGAACGAAAGCGGGGGAAGGGGGGUUCUCCGCGUGACGUCAGGAGCUUCCCCGGAAAGUCCAAACAAGACGUUGAUGCGGCAUCCCCCACCCCCGCCCCCCUUCCCACCCCCGCAUUCGGGACGCUCUCAAGACGGACACCACCGGGGGGACUUGUUAAAGACGACAGAGACGAGCUCAAGAAGGAUCGAGACUGCACCUGCUGCUUCAGGCUGAGUCACUGCCGGUGAGGAGGAAGGUCUGGAGCGGGGACGGGGGAGGAGGCGGCAGUGACGCAGGACGAGAAGAAGAAGAAGAAGAAGGAGCACGGAGGGAGGGAGGGAGCCAGAUAAGCCACAACAAGAACACGCAGAUUCUGAGAUUUUGCGGCGGGAGCAAGACUGCGUGAACGGCAAAGGGAGGAAGGGAGGGAGGGUGACGCCCCCCCCCUCCUCCCGCCGGCGCUCUCUGCCGAGCCGGCGUGUAGCGACAACGCACUCGGCGUGGAGGAACCAUGAGCGAUGUGAGCGUCGUCAGAGAGGGAUGGCUUCAGAAACGUGGCGAAUACAUCAAGAACUGGCGGCCGCGUUACUUCCUGCUCAAGACGGACGGCUCCUUCGUGGGCUACAAGGAGAAACCUCAGGACGCCGACCCGCCCUACCCGCUGAACAACUUCUCCGUGGCAAAAUGCCAACUGAUGAAGACGGAGAGGCCCAAGCCCAACACCUUCAUCAUACGCUGCCUCCAGUGGACCACCGUCAUCGAGAGGACCUUCCACGUGGACACCCCCGACGAGAGGGACGAGUGGACGGCGGCCAUUCAGACGGUGGCGGACAAGCUGCAGAAGCAAGAGGAGGAGAGGAUCCGGCGCAGCCCCGCUCGCAACGCCGACAGCGCGGCCGAGGAGGAGAUGGACGUCUCCGCCGCGCAGCACAAACGCAAGACGAUGAGCGACUUUGACUACCUGAAGCUGCUCGGAAAGGGAACGUUUGGCAAAGUGAUUCUGGUGCGGGAGAAGGCCAGCGGCAAAUACUACGCCAUGAAGAUUUUAAAGAAGGAAGUCAUCAUCGCCAAGGACGAGGUGGCGCACACGCUGACCGAGAGCCGAGUCCUGAAAAACACCAGACACCCCUUUCUCACCUCAUUGAAGUAUUCCUUCCAGACAAAAGACCGCCUCUGUUUCGUCAUGGAGUAUGUGAACGGCGGAGAGCUGUUUUUCCACUUAUCCAGAGAGCGGGUGUUCUCCGAGGAGCGCACGCGCUUCUACGGCGCCGAGAUCGUCUCGGCGCUGGACUACCUGCACUCGGCCAAGAUCGUGUACCGCGACCUCAAGCUGGAGAACCUGAUGCUGGAUAAAGACGGCCACAUCAAGAUCACCGACUUCGGCCUGUGCAAGGAAGGCAUCACGGACGCGGCCACCAUGAAGACCUUCUGCGGCACGCCCGAGUACCUGGCGCCCGAGGUGCUGGAGGACAACGACUACGGGCGAGCGGUGGACUGGUGGGGCCUGGGCGUGGUGACCUACGAGAUGAUGUGCGGCCGGCUGCCCUUCUACAACCAGGACCACGAGAAGCUCUUUGAGCUCAUCCUGAUGGAGGACAUCAAGUUCCCGCGCACGCUCUCGGCCGACGCCAAGUCGCUGCUUUCGGGCCUCCUGGUCAAGGACCCCAACAAACGGCUCGGCGGCGGACCCGACGACGCCAAAGACAUCAUGAGGCACGCUUUCUUUUCCGCCGUCGACUGGCGGCACGUGUACGACAAAAAGACGCUUCCUCCGUUCAAGCCUCAGGUGACGUCGGAGAAGGACACCAGGUACUUUGACGAGGAGUUCACGGCGCAGACCAUCACGGUGACGCCGCCUGAGAAAUUCGAGGAGGACGGCGCGGACUGUCUGGACAACGACAGACGACCGCACUUCCCGCAGUUCUCCUACUCGGCCAGCGGGCGGGAAUGAACGGGGCGCGCCCUCUCACCCCGCCCCCCGCUGUGACAUCAUCACGGCCGCUCGACGAGGUCCUCGGCGCGGGACGCCCAAAAAGAGAAAAGCGGGAAGCUCUCGGAAUCCGCUCCGGGAAGGAUUUUGCCACCCCUCCGCCAUUUUGUCUCAUUCACGCUUCACGAAGGGAGCGGAAGGUAUGAAGGCGGGUUAGCCGCUAAUGUGAUGUGACGGCUGCGCUCCGCCCCAAUUGGUCCCGAACUCGGCCGUCCCCGUAACGCACGCGCGCGCACGCUCGAUUGUAAUCUCAGGCUCUUUUUUAUUUUUUAUUUUUGGCACACGUCAACCGUAUUCCGGGAUGGACUGAGCGGGCCCGGUGGGCGGGAGUUGACUCGGGUGGCAUCUCCCAGUCGUCGUUGCUGCUACGCCAACUCGUCCUCGUCCUCUUCAACCGGACGGCCGCUCAACACAUCUAUCGCCAGUCGGUGACCGUAAAAGAAGCAUUCUAUUUCUUUGUUCAUUUAUUUAUUGGUUGGUUUGUUUUGAUGGUGGCUAUCCUGACACCAAACAAGUCCCCCCUCCCCCGCCCUCUCUGAAUCAAUUUUCAGAGAACUAGUGGAAGUAAAAAGAGACGUGGGAAUUGGUUUUGGUUGUUGUUCGGUCUCCAAAAGGCUGAUUUGGCAAAAAUUGUCCAAAAGGCAAAGCAAUGCUUCCCUGGGGAUAUGAGCUCAAUCCCCUCGAUCCAUCCCAGAAACCCCGAAAGGUGUCCCAAAAAUCCAAAAGAGUUGCCAUGGAUCUGAGGGGGCCGGCGCGUUGGGCAAGAUGGCCUUCCGCCGACACCCCGACUCUCGUCAUCACGUGACCCAGCCCCCAAAACAGGUUUGCAGACUCCCUGUGACUUGUUGUCUUCUUUCAUUUCAGACUCAACAGCCCUGUUGUUUGUCGAAGCAGGGCACCUCCACGAGGAUGACCGACGCUUUCCCGGGCUGAGAUGACCGUGACCGUGACAGGUUGCCGGAGAGCGCGGGGGGCGUUUUUGUUUUACCGAGAGACGUUGUCAGAUGGAGCCGUCUUUUGAUUGCGACAUCAAUUUCCUGGUCUGAGGCCCAAGAUGUUAGGCCGUUAGGUCUCACGGCGGCUGUAACAACUGUAACGAAACAAGAAUGGACAGUGUGUUAGGAAAACAAA